UUAUAUUUGUAAAAAAAAAAUAAUAUAUUCGAAUGUUUUUGUGUAUAGAGAUAUCUGCAGCAGAGGAAGAAGAUAUCUGCAGCAUUUUAGUCAAAAGCAAAGUCUCUCUCGUCGCGAUCAUUCACGGAUUGAAUGUCCGCGUUACCUUAACCGGUCCACGGACAUCAGUGCCAGGACGUUCUCUCUUCAUUCAUGUGUAGAUAGACCAGAAGAGUUCAGGUAGCGUCCUCCAAUUUCGAGAAAAGAGAUGUAUGAUCGUCCGCUCCUCCUUCCUCAGAAACAGAAGGAACGGGGCAGAAAAAGAGAAGGAAAACGCGUGAGCUGGCUUCGAGAGAAACAUCAUCAGCUUCUUACCUAACCGACAGACUGCCAGUAUUUCAUUCAUAUUAUUAUCCUGGCCCGGUAAUAUUUGCUUCGAGUUAUUUCUGUUUUUCCGUCACCUCGGACUCUUUCAAGAUCCUCCUACCUAGUCGAUAGCAUUCGAUCAAUGGGCGACUGAUUCGUUCGAAUGUAUACUGAGUGUAAAUCUGUGCGAUGCAUCGGGGGAAUCGUCAAGCGGAAUCGACGGGACGAAGAAAAGAGGGUAACAUACGAUGCCUGCCAAAAUCAACGGGACACGGAGCUCCACCAAAGUCAAGUUCGAACGUCCUACGCGAACGCGAGUGUCGAAGGUCACGGAGAGGAGACGCGAUUCGGUGCUCAUUGAUGCCGGGCGAUUAAUCGAAAGAGCAGUUGCAACACGUGCUUCGAGAUCGUCGGAACCACGCUGGGAGAGACGCAGCUCGAGUUGAACGAUCUCCUCCUCUUUCCCGAUUGUAUAUGCAUAUAUUAUUUAUUUUGUGCGUUGGGAUCGAUAGCUCGAUCGAAAAAAGAAUGAAAUUUAGAUUUAAAAUAUAUCACACGUUUAAUGAGGAUAAUUGUGUCGGAUGAUAUCCUAUGUCGUUUCUUAAUUGGAGAAAUAAAAAUCAAUGUUGGAGAUCUCGAGAGAGAGAAGAGUGUAAGAUCAAAAUGAUAUAAAUAAAUGCGUAUUGUAUUUAGUGUACUCAAUAUUUCAAAAUAAU